rnacentral:lncRNA from 12 species
CUCCCACCCAACUCUCUCCUCCAUCCCAUAUAUAGGCACUGGAUAAAAGCAGUGAGUAAAUCAUUAAUCACUGUCACAGCCCAGGAGUCUCUUACCCAAGUUCUAACUAUGUUUAGUGCUCCAUCCUCCAUCUUUGUUUGUUUGUUUUAAGAGAGGGAUAGGGGAGUAAUAAAGGACAGGGAGAGAGAGAAUCUUAAGCAGGGUCCACAUCCAAUGCGGAGCUGAUCUCAUGACCCAAGCCAAAAUCAAGAGUCCAACACUUUAUCCAAGUGACACACCCAAGUGCCUGUGUUUGUUUGAUUUUUAGUUCAAGGACAUGCUGGAGCACUUUUAGUAGGUUAUUGACAUGAAAUAAUCACAUAAGAGUCACAAAAAUGCUAGUGAUUGUGCUCUAUUUCUUCUAUCUUGAUUCACUCCUUACCAUUCUCCACUCUGACCUGUGUCCUGAGAAGCUCACACUCUAGGGUUCCAUCAAUAGUCACAUUUUAUUUUGUUUUCUUGACAGUGCUUCAGGAACAGUGAUGGGUGCCCAUGGUGCAGAGCAGAGUAAUAUUGAGGUCUGAGGGGAAUACCAUCUCCCUAAGAAUAAAGGUGAGAAAAUACAGCAAUUCUUGGGUGAACCUCCAGACACCUGAGGCAUUCAAUCAGGUUCAUGCCUAGGCAAUAAGGGAAGAGUUCAUUCUACCCAGAAAAGUACCAGCCAG